CUGCACAGAGACAUCUGAUCAGUCAGGCUACUGGUUAUUUUCCAGGACUUAUCCGGUCCUGGGUAUAACCAAAGCCCGACUGAAUAGUGUUAAAU
rnacentral:pre_miRNA from 14 species